rnacentral:rRNA from 1 species
UACAGAGGGUGCAAGCGUUAAUCGGAAUUACUGGGCGUAAAGCGUGCGUAGACGGUUACGUAAGUCGGAUGUGAAAGCCCCGGGCUUAACCUGGGAAUUGCAUUCGAUACUGCGUAGCUAGGAUGCGGAAGAGGGAAGUGGAAUUUCCGGUGUAGCGGUGAAAUGCGUAGAUAUCGGAAGGAACAUCAGUGGCGAAAGCGACUUCCUGGUCCAGCAUCGACGUUCAGGCACGAAAGCGUGGGGAGCAAACAGG